ACGUAAACAACCUGCCUUCAGGAUGGGGACAACAGACGGAAACGACUGCUAAUACCGAAUAGGUUCCAAGAGCCGCAUGGCCCAUGGAAGAAAAGGUGGCCUCUACCUGUAAGCUAUCGCCUGAAGAGGGGUUUGCGUCUGAUUAGCUGGUUGGAGGGGUAACGGCCCACCAAGGCGACGAUCAGUAGCCGGUCUGAGAGGAUGAACGGCCACACUGGAACUGAGACACGGUCCAGACUCCUACGGGAGGCAGCAUG
rnacentral:rRNA from 1 species